rnacentral:misc_RNA from 1 species
UUUCUUCGUUUUCAUGUAAGUUGUGUUUUUUUUUCCGCCUUGUUUUCCACUUAAAACACAAAUGGAAAAAUUGACCGCCUUUGAUGAUUUAUUCAAAAGUCUAAAUUGCAAGUAUCUUCUUCCUUCUGGUAGGGUGCUAAAGUAUCUGCAGAAAGAAAUGAUUCUUUAAGACAAAUAUGUUGGAAAUUCUUUGCACAUGGAACAUUUUUAAUUGAAUUACUGGAGGUGUUAAUUGAUACCUGCAGGGAAGAGUUUAGAGAGCAG